AACGAACGCUGGCGGCAGGCUUAACACAUGCAAGUCGAACGCCCGCAAGGGGAGUGGCAGACGGGUGAGUAACGCGUGGGAAUCUACCCAGUUCUACGGAACAACACAGGGAAACUUGUGCUAAUACCGUAUACGCCCUACGGGGGAAAGAUUUAUCGGAAUUGGAUGAGCCCGCGUAAGAUUAGCUAGUUGGUGGGUAA
rnacentral:rRNA from 1 species